CCGGCGACCGGCGCACGGGUGAGUAACACGUAUGCAACCUGCCCUCUUCAGGGGGACAACCUUCCGAAAGGGAGGCUAAUCCCGCGUAUAUCGGUUUCGGGCAUCCGAGAUCGAGGAAAGAUUCAUCGGAAGAGGAUGGGCAUGCGGCGCAUUAGCUAGACGGCGGGGUAACGGCCCACCGUGGCGACGAUGCGUAGGGGUUCUGAGAGGAAGGUCCCCCACACUGGUACUGAGGCACGGACCAGACUCCUACGGAAGGCAGCAG
rnacentral:rRNA from 1 species